CUGCUGCCGCUGCUGCUGCUCGGAGGCCGGAGGCGCCCGCCGGGCGGUGUCAUGAUGAGGAGCUUCUCAGAAACAGAAGUGGAUGAUGAGUGGAGAUGAAGAAAUCAUACAUUUAAGAAGUUGGCUCAAGUUUCCGUUACAGGCAUGGAAAGUUUCUGAGACCAAGCCAUGUGAGAAGAACAUGAGUAAAGAAGAGGGAGAUGUAGACCCAGACUUUCUAGAAGGGAUUGCAGGAUUUGAGAGGACGCUCCACAAACGUCAUGUAGUUUUCUUGCUUAUUCAUUUACCUGCACCCCUGAACUGUAAUACUUUGUUUGCAUGUCUAUUUGGAAGCUGAGAAAUUCCCUCACAUCUGUGUCUUUAAUAUAAUCAUGGCUUCAAGCUUGUUUUAGGAAGAGCAGAACAUUACUGUAGUUUUUAUUUGUGGAUGAGAUAGUUGCUGCUUUGUACUUGAAAUCAAUUUGGGAUUUUUUUUUUGUUGAAACAUACAUUGAAUAUGGAAAAGCUCAGACCAUUACAAAAUAGGAAGUUAGAGGUUUUGCUUACAUUUAAUAAAUAGCCUUUGCAUAAGGAAGUAUGACAACUGGUGCAUAGGUAAAUGAAAAAAAAUAGGCUAGCCCUCUAAUUUGAGUAACUUUAUAAUAUAUUGUUCUUAUGGUGACCUUAGACAGAUGUCAGAAUCAAAUAUUAAUCAAUUUUAUGUUUUCUAUCUGCCUGUUGUUCAGCAAAAUGUUCUAGAUAAGAUUUCUUGCCAGAGUUGUGGGGUUAAAAGGGCAGAUUACUUAGUAUUGAGUUAGAAGAGAACUUUUUGGAGAGAUACUUCAUGGAACAGUCAAGCUGUUCAAAAAACUAUCUUGAAAGAAAUACUAGCCACGCACUCCAACAAAUUAACAAUACUGUGAACAGACUUGAUUGUAGUAAGUCUCUGAUACAAAGUUAUUAAGACUUUGACGUAUAUGUAUUUAAAAUUUAAAAGUAAAUGUAUUUUCCUGUAUUGAAAAGUAUUACUGGUAGGGGUAGGCAAAGAACAUCUUUAUUUUUCUUAUGAACUCCUAUCUGGUGUCUUAUCCUUAAUAAAAGGCUAUGGUUAUUUUUGUAUACUGUCUAUUUGGCCUUUAAGAGUAUAUAAUUAGAUGGAAGAGUAAAAGCAGUUGUUAAAGGAUGGUUUUUUAAUGAAAAUAGUUUGAAAUCAUGUAAUUUUAGUUUCUUCCAAAUAGAUGUGAUUAGUGUGUUGGAAAUAGUUUUACAGUGGAUAUAAAGGGAACAGUUGAGAGACAGUGGCUGAGAAUGUUUUGUAGCUAACAGUUAUAUUUUUUCAGUCUCUUUACUUAGAUAUAUCCAUAUAAUUGAACUGCUACAUCACAAUGAGAUACAAAAGCUAUUUGCACUUUAUAAUAUUUACAUUUUUAAAUAGGUUUUAUUGUACUAAUUGAUAAGUGAAUUGCAAUGACUGUGAGAAAAUUCUAGCCUAUUUUAUUACUUUAAUAGAAAUUUGAAUAUGGGGUAGUAUUGUCUGUAUCGUAUAAGAAUGUUUUAAUGGAUUUUUAGCUGCUGAAACUGAAAUCAAUAAACUUUAGCUACUGUUGUUGACUGGAACAAGUAAA